GACGAACCGUGCGAACGUUGUUCGGAAUCACUGGGCUUAAAGGGCGCGUAGGCGGGCGGCAAAGUCAGGGGUGAAAUCCUCCAGCUUAACUGGAGAAGUGCCUUUGAUACUGGUCGCCUCGAGGAAGGUAGGGGCAUGCGGAACUGAUGGUGGAGCGGUGAAAUGUGUUGAUAUCAUCAGGAACUCCGGUGGCGAAAGCGGCGUGCUGGACCUUUUCUGACGCUGAGGCGCGAAAGCCAGGGGAGCAAACGGG
rnacentral:rRNA from 1 species